GAUGAACGCUGGCGGCGUGCCUAAUACAUGCAAGUCGAGCGAACAGACGAGGAGCUUGCUCCUCUGACUUUAGCGGCGGACGGGUGAGUAACACGUGGAUAACCUACCUAUAAGACUGGGAUAACUUCGGGAAACCGGAGCUAAUACCGGAUAAUAUAUUGAACCGCAUGGUUCAAUAGUGAAAUACGGUUUUUCUGUCACUUAUAGAUGGAUCCGCGCCGCAUUAGCUAGUUGGUAAGGUAACGGCUUACCAAGGCAACGAUGCGUAGCCAACCUGAGAGGGUGAUCGGCCACACUGGAACUGAGACACGGUCAAGACUCCUACGGGAGGCAGCAGUAGGGAAUCUUCCGCAAUGGGCGAAAGCCUGACGGAGCAACGCCGCGUGAGUGAUGAAGGUCUUCGGAUCGUAAAACUCUGUUAUUAGGGAAGAACAAAUGUGUAAGUAACUAUGCACGUCUUGACGGUACCUAAUCAGAAAGCCACGGCUAACUACGUG
rnacentral:rRNA from 1 species